rnacentral:rRNA from 1 species
AGAGCGAACGCUGGCGGCAUGCUUAACACAUGCAAGUCGCACGGGCAGGGGCAACUCUGUCAGUGGCGGACGGGUGAGUAACGCGUAGGUAUCUAUCCUUGGGUGGGGGACAACUGUGGGAAACUACAGCUAAUACCGCAUGAUAACUGAGGUUUAAAGGCGCCCAGGGUAACUUGGGUGGUCGCCUGGGGAGGAGCCUGCGUACGAUUAGCUAGUUGGUGGGGUAAAGGCCUACCAAGGCGACGAUCGUUAGCUGGUCUGAGAGGAUGAUCAGCCACAUUGGGACUGAGACACGGCCCAAACUCCUACGGGAGGCAGCAGUGGGGAAUAUUGGACAAUGGGCGCAAGCCUGAUCCAGCAAUGCCGCGUGUGUGAAGAAGGUCUUCGGAUUGUAAAGCACUUUCGACGGGACGAUGAUGACGGUACCCGUAGAAGAAGCCCCGGCUAACUUCGCGCCAGCAGCCGCGGUAA